GAUGAACGCUAGCGGCAGGCCUAACACAUGCAAGUCGAGGGGCAUCGCGGUGCAGCAAUGCACUGGCGGCGACCGGCGUACGGGUGCGUAACGCGUAUGCAACCUGCCCCGCACCGGGGGAUAGCCCGCCGAAAGGCGGAUUAAUACCCCAUGGGUCCCGGGGGCCCGCAUGGGCAUCCGGGUAAAGCCUUGGCGGUGCGGGAUGGGCAUGCGUGCCAUUAGCUGGCUGGUGGGGUAACGGCCCACCAGGGCAACGAUGGCUAGGGGGUCUGAGAGGAUGGUCCCCCACACUGGUACUGAGACACGGACCAGACUCCUACGGGAGGCAGCAGUGAGGAAUAUUGGUCAAUGGGCGGAAGCCUGAACCAGUCAUGCCGCGUGCGGGAUGAAGGCCCUACGGGUUGUAACCGCUUUUCCCCGGGAAGAAUAACCCCGAUGGAGUCGGGGGAUGCCGGUACCGGGGGAAGUAAGGAUCGGCUAACUCCGUG
rnacentral:rRNA from 1 species